ensembl:lncRNA LINC01610 long intergenic non-protein coding RNA 1610
CAUUUUCAGCCUCAGCACGCCUGCACCCAGGCGCUCAUUAAAACAGCAUGUUGCUCCCCACUGCCUCGUGUUGUCUGUUGGCGCGCUGUCGGGGUUCGAACCGAUACAAGAACCUUCCACCUACCUGGUGCUUUGGCCUCAUCUAUAAGCUUUUCCACUGUCCUGAAACAAGAUAGAGAAUCUGAGUGGCAGUGUCAAGGAGGUGAGGAGAGCAUAAUUUCAGAGUGCGACGUGUGAGGUACUGUCUUCAAGAUCAAGAUACUCAGGCUGAUGGAGCCUCUACCAUCUUCAAUACAUAGUUUCUCAGGCUGCCCUGAGAAUUAGCAUCUAACCAGCAAACAGGGAACAAAAGGAGAAUAUACAUGGGACAUUUUAAGUGGCACUCAUUACUUCCACUAACAUCCCACUAAUUAGAACUUCGUAUAUUGUUGCUUCUAACUGCAAAAAAGGCUGGGAAAUGUAAUCUCUCUGUGUACCAGAAGAAAAACUGGGUUUGGUCAACAGUUAGCCAGUUUCUGCUGAACCUAUUCUACUGGUUAUCACAUAGUCUUUUAUUCUUCUUCCUACACAAGCUAACCUCUUUCUCAAAAGAGACAAUUCAAAAUCCCAGCCAGUCACUAUGUCCAGCUCAAAAUACAGGAUCUCCAAGUGAUAAUGAUGUACAGUUCUUUCUCUAUCUGAUAAAAAUGUGGCCUUAUAGUUCAGCAACAUAUCAAUUAAAAUGAUAAAUUAUCUGCCCAUUUCCUUCCCCCCCACCCCCCCCACACACAGGAAUAUAGCACUUAUUACCUUUUAAUUUACUAUAUACCUAUCUCCUUUGUUUGGUGUCACCUUCCACUAGAACUUAAACUCCAUGAUAGCAGAUUUUUGCCUCCCCACCCUUCCAUUGCUGUAUUCUCAGUGUCUACAAGUAAAUAAUUGUUAAAUAUU